AUACAUAGGCUCCAAGCGUUGUUCGGAAUUACUGGGCGUAAAGCGAGUGUAGGCGGCCUGUCCAGUCGAUUGUGAAAUCUCCCGGCUCAACUGGGAGGGUGCGGUCGAAACUGGCAGGCUAGAGUUCGGGAGAGGAGAGUGGAAUUCCUGGUGUAGCGGUGAAAUGCGUAGAUAUCAGGAGGAACACCGGAGGUGAAGACGGCUCUCUGGACCGAUACUGACGCUGAGACUCGAAAGCGUGGGGAGCAAACAGGAUUAGAAACCCCAGUAGUCC
rnacentral:rRNA from 1 species